ACAUGCCUACAACAUAGCGUUAAUGCAUCAAAUCCAAUUAGAACUCCACAGUUAAGUGUGCUCGGUCUAGAGUAGUAUUGUGAUGGGUGACUGGUCGGGAAGUACUAGUAUUUUACAUGCC
rnacentral:rRNA from 1 species